UCACCGCCCUUUGAGUAAAUAAUUUCUUUCUGACAUCUAAUAUAUAUCUUCCCUCUUUCAGUUUAAAAACCUUUCCCAGAAAAAGAGAAGAAAAAAAAAAAAAAAGAGCAUAAAGUUAAUCAAUACAGAAGAUAACAUCUAAUGACCACACAUGCCAUCAGAUGCCGUACUUCACGUAUGAUCACAGCAACUGCAGUGAAAACACUUGGGCAGAAGCAGCAGCAGCAGCUGGAAGCCACAGCAUCGUUGACCCUGUGCAUCAGUGAAUUCAUGGCAGCCACAGUGCUCUGCACAGCUCGACAAUCCCAGCUAAAGCACCACUGAGCUACUAGAAGGGUAGAAAGCAGCCUCAUUUUCUUUGUGAUCGUGUUAGGAGCGAGGGGGCAAGGUCCAUUUGGCAGGGAUGUAUUUGGGAUGCCCCCACGUUUGGAGCAAAGGGCCAACUAAUGAGUUCACACCUGAAGGGCUGGCUGCAGGACUCUGCGUCCCACUGAUUCAAUAGCCAUGAGUAUAUUGUCCCUACGUUUUUGUCUUUAAACUCAUUGUUAGUCUAUGAAACACCCUUGGGACAACUCAGUUUCUUUAAGGAAGAGACUUCAUCAGGAGCUUUGAGAAAUCAAUGUACACCAUGUCUACUGGAUUAACUUUAUCUGCAUGCACACUGAUUCUGUUCUCAGAAAAAAUAAAAAAAAUAAAAAAGUAAAAAAAUAAAAAAAAACAACUAACAACAGACUUAUGAGGCAUAGUUUCCAAGCUGUGCCAGCUCAUCCCCAUUAUUUUAAAUUUGUCCAUAUGUCUACUAAUUCUCUUUUUUAUAAUGCCUCUCAAAAAUACCCCUCAAAUCAAAAU